CAGUCAUCUGUAAAAGUAACAAAGAAAUAAAUGUAGCUUAAGGAGCAUGAAAAUCAGAUUAAAUUACAUGAGCAGUUAAAUAAAUACUCUACUUCAUAAAUUAAUACAUAUACAUUCAUGCAUAACCAUAAAUAGUCACUUCAGCAUACUUUUACGAUCAGCUUGUCAAAUCGUAAUAUAUGGGACUGUCAAGUUAACCUUUUAACACAUGCGAACAAAUAUUUAGGGCUGUUAAAGUUUGUGGAAUGUAAACCAUUUGUUUAUGCUUUGAAUUUCCCGUGCGGAAGACUUUUUUUAAGACUUUUUUUUUUGGUCUCAGUACUGUAUAAAAACAAAGACAUGGUAUGGAAAAUCAAGCCUUGUGCAUUAUAGGGAAUAAUAUUCUGAAUAUUUUUCAGGAGGUUUAAUACCUUUAUCUCGAACGCCAUCAGAGUUUAAUGAAUUUAAGUAUGUACAGUAUAUUAAACAUUAAAAUAUGGAUUCAUUAUUGUAUAUAAAACAGUAAAGGCAUAAUUUGAAAAUCAAAGCCUUGUACAUCAUAGGAAAAAAAUCUGAAUAUUUUACAGUAAAAAAAAAAACAUAGAUAGGUUAACAUGAAUGUGGUUAAUGAGCAACAUCCUAAUUACAGUAACAGUUUUUGUCGACAUGUGAAGUAAAUGUCAGUAAAUCAGUAAAUUUAUAUUUCUAGUUCUCAAGAAAGUUAAUGUUAUUUUUUUCCCCCUUCUAAGCACUUCCAAGAACUUCUUGAUUGUCGUUUAUGGAUUCCUCAUGAAAUUCAGGUUUGUUGGCUUGGAUGGACCAAGUGUCGGUUUCACUGGAAAAACUCUGAUUGUGUCUGAUGAAUGGCACAGAGGAUUGGCCAUAGAUGUGCCUUGCUGCUUUUCAAAAAGGCAUUGGAGUCUGAAAGCCCCACACCUUCCACUACCUAAUUAAAGCUGAGGCAGUUGUGGCCUGAAUUUUUUUUGUGUGUGUGUGUUUUGUGUGUGUGUUUGUUUCUGGCUGUUGACCGGGGGUGGUCACUGAUUGCCAUGAUAACAAUAGCUGGUAAGUUAACAUCAACUAAAUUGUCUAGAAAAAAACCUUUACUUAAACAUAGAAGUAUACAUUUUGUAGGAGUGUUAAUUGAUUCAUCGUGAUGCGGACGUGGACGAUUCUGCAUCAAUGCAGUAAUAGACCAUAAUCAAUUAUUGCCUACGACAGCGCUUCCACUCGCUGUUAUUUUAGUCUAUUUUAGUCUGUUAUUUUACUUUAGAUAUGCUUUCAUUUCUGCUGUUUAGAAUGCAGUACGUAUUCAAUGCACAAAACUCACGCACUGACAGACAUUCACAUGUGCUUUGUGUUUGUUUGUCCUGAAGCUCGCGGCUGUAGUUAAAUGCACUUGCAUCUACUUUUAUGAUACAAAAUUAAUGUAAACGGUCAGUUAUGUUUUCAGAACAGGACAAAGCAUCUGAUAUGUGGAAAUGGAUCUUUGCAUUAGUGUGAAUGCAGGCAAUAAUGCUGAUUAAAAAGAAAAGCCCAUAACUAUGAUUAUCUGUAAACUUUCAAUACUUAAAGCACUCCCAGAUACUGAAAGUGAUUUUUGUUUAUCACUUGUAGUUGUCUUUCCCCCUUUAUUACUUUAUAUUUGCCUGUAUGCCAAAUUAAAUCAUAAAAUCAUUUCACACCCAUAACAUUUUGUAUUUUGCCUCUUUAAUGUAAGUUAGUUUAGCUGGAGGAUUAAGUGAUUCUUGGAUUCUUAACUGCAAAUGUGAAUAUAGUUUCCCAAUGCCUAAUAACACAUGUGACCAAGAUGACUACAUAUCCAAAAUAAUGACACAAAUAUUACUUAAAGUGAAAAUUAAGUACCUUAAAGUAAUAGCUGGCAGGGAAAAAACUCUGUGGAGGCGGCAGUGGAGGAUGACACAAAAUCUAUUAAAUCAAAGAAAGCAUAGUAAUAUAAUACUCACAAUUGUUGACAUUACAAUACACAAGGAUAGAGCAUUGUCCUUAACAAAUACUGCAUGUACUUUGUUGAAUUACGCUAUGAAUCAACAUGAGUAUCAAAGAUGAAUCCAAAAUCAAACACUAAGAAUGUGCCUGAUGCUUAAAAAAACAGCUUAGAGCAUUGGAUGCCAAUGGUCUGUUUAAAGACAAGCAAAAGGGGAGACAAUAUUGCAUAGAUCUGUAUUGAUAGAUAUGUGCUAAAUAACUUCUAACUAAAUAACUAAAGUCUUUAAAGUAGCUUAAGAGAUUAAUAACUAUAGUCUUUAAAGAAAAAAAAAUAUUUCCAAAUCAACUCAUUAUGAACGUGUUACAUUUAAAUUGAUAGAACAGGAUCAUAAAUUUAAUGUCUUUAGACACUGACUCCGACUUGCUGCACAAUAAGGUUUAAUUGAUCUAAAACUAGAUAAAGCCAACGACACACUCUGUACUGUGGCUAUGGAAAGAGCCUUUGGGUUGUAUGUUGGUGCCGCUGACACAAGCAGAAGAAGGAAAAAUAGGAAACCUUACUGAUUAUGAGUGAGAUUGUAAACAUCUGCAUGGAUUAAAAAUGUAUGCAAUUUACAGCAGUCAUUGUUCACUAAAAUGAUCAUGGCCAAUCAUAAAUGCAGGAUACUACAUUGUAUUUUAGAAGAACAUCCCUUCUCAUGUCUUUAUGACUCAGACUUGCUG